rnacentral:hammerhead_ribozyme from 1 species
AUUCUGAUGACGAGUCCCAAAUUGGACGAAAUGCGCGUCUUGGAC